rnacentral:tRNA from 1 species
CGGGGUGUAGCUCAGUUGGCUAGAGCGCCUGCUUUGGGAGCAGGAGGCCGUGGGUUCAAGUCCCUCCACCCCGACCA